ACUGGACUGCAACUGACGUUGAGGCUCGAAAGUGUGGGUAGCAAACAGGAUUAGAUACCCUGGUAGUCCACACCGUAAACGAUGAACACUAGGUGUUAGGAGGUUUCCGCCUCUUAGUGCCGAAGCUAACGCAUUAAGUGUUCCGCCUGGGGAGUACGACCGCAAGGUUGAAACUCAAAGGAAUUGACGGGGACCCGCACAAGCGGUGGAGCAUGUGG
rnacentral:rRNA from 1 species